GACGAACGCUGGCGGCGUGCUUAACACAUGCAAGUCGAACGGAAAGGCCCUGCUUUUGUGGGGUGCUCGAGUGGCGAACGGGUGAGUAACACGUGAGUAACCUGCCCUUGACUUUGGGAUAACUUCAGGAAACUGGGGCUAAUACCGGAUAGGAGCUCCUGCUGCAUGGUGGGGGUUGGAAAGUUUCGGCGGUUGGGGAUGGACUCGCGGCUUAUCAGCUUGUUGGUGGGGUAGUGGCUUACCAAGGCUUUGACGGGUAGCCUGCCUGAGAGGGUGACCAGCCACAUUGGGACUGAGGUACGGCCCAGACUGCUACGGGAGGCAACGGUGGGGAAUAUGACACAGUGGGCGGGAGUGAGUUGCAGCGACGCCGCGUGCGGGAUGACGGCCUUCGGGUUGUAAACCGCUUUGGCCGGAGACGAAGAGUGAGUGACGGUAAUGAGUAAAGAAGCCCCGGCUAACUACGUG
rnacentral:rRNA from 1 species